AGUAGUACGCAGUAGUUCCUCUUUCGCCUGUUGGGAAGCCUCAACCAAGUUCAAUGCAUUGCUGCCAUCAAGAGGAUAGGAUGGAAUGGAACUCGAUUGAAUGCUGCAGUCCUGGGAAGAAACAAUGGCACUAGGUGUGGUGUGCUGUGCCAUACCUCCUUGGUGAGGUCAUCGUUGUUGUCCCGCUCGCUCGGCUGCUCCUGGCUGUCCUCCGGGGCCACCGCUCCCAGGCUGUCCUCUCCGCCGUGGCUGUAGGUGGACUCAGACGCUCCGCUGCCCCCCCUCAUGGUGGAGGCUUCGGAGUUGUUCACAUCCUCCAGACCACCGCCAUUGUCCAGGGUAAUGCUGGGGCUUGACUGGCCGGCAGCGGACACCACCGUUUCCGGGUCGCGGUGCACCAGCCAGGCGCUGACCUCGGUGCUGGGCACACGCAGGUGAUCCAGAGAGCGCACCUGGUUCAGCAACCGGCGCGUGGCGAAGAAGUGAUCCAGGUCCACACUCUUGGGAUGGAUGCCAUAGCCGUCCAGUGUGUUGCGGAGGUUGUGGAACUGCGUCUGGGUGUAGGCCGAGCUGGGGCCCAGGAUGAUCUCGCGCAGUGGGGGCAGCUGAUUGUUCAGGUAGGUGUCCACGUCCACCCGCACCCCAAUGAGACUCAGUAGGAUGGUGAACUGAAUCAGGCCCUCUGUGAAGUACUUUUUCAGGUAAAGCAUUUCUUAGCAAAGCACCAAAAAAAUGAAAGUAAAAAUAAAA